rnacentral:lncRNA from 1 species
UUUUUGGGGAAAUUUUUGGGGAUUUUUUUGGAAAUUUGGGGGUAAAUUCUGUGGAUUUUUGGGUUUUUUGGGGGGGAAUUUUUGGGGGAUUUUUGGGGAUUUUUUCGGGAAUUUUUUGGGAUUUUUUUGGGGAUUUUUCGGGGAAUUUUUGGGGAAUUUUUCGGGUCCAUUUUGUGGAAUUUUGGGGGAGUUUUGGACAAAUUUGGGGGGAAUUUGGGGAAUUUGGGGGAGUCCCAGGUGAGUUCCAGCUGUAUCCAGGUGUCCCCAGCUGUCCCCAGGUGUGUCCAGGUGUCCCCAGGUGUCUCCAGGUGUCUCCAGGUGAGUUUCCAGUUGUCCCCAGUUGUCCCCAGGUGUCCCCAGGUGUCCCCAGCUGUCCCCAGGUGUCCCCAGGUGUAUCUCAGGUGUCUCCAGGUGUGUCCAGGUGAGUUUCCAGGUGUGUCCAGGUGUGUCUCAGGUGUCCCCAGUUGUAUCUCAGGUGUCCCCAGGUGUCUCCAGUUGUCCCCAGGUGUCCCCAGGUGUCCCCAGGUGUGUCUCAGGUGUGUCCCCAGGUGUUCCCAGUUGUCCCCAGCUGUCCCCAGUUGUCCCCAGGUGUGUCUCAGGUGUGUCCAGGUGUGUCUCAGGUGUGUCCAGUUGUAUCUCAGGUGUCCCCAGCUGUCUCCAGGUGUCCCCAGGUGUCCCCAGGUGUCCCCAGUUGUAUCUCAGGUGUCCCCAGGUGUCCCCAGCUGUGUCUCAGCUGCAGGGCCGGAAGGGCCGGGCGGUGACGCCCCCGUGCAGCUCCAGCCCCGCCCUGGCCCAGGCCAGCAGGUCCCCGCGGGCGGGUGACGCACACCUGGCCAGCGCCGCCACCUCGGGCGGGGCCAGGGCGCGGCUCCACAGGUGGAACUCGGCCAAUUCGCCCACGAACGCCUGGGUGGCGUCAAAACGACCCCCGAGGGAGUCCUGGGGGAGAGAGACAGGGGGGAUACACCUGAGGAGGGGUGAAAUACACCUGGGACAGGUGAAAGACACCUGGGGAGGGAUGAAAUACACCUGGGGAGGGGUGAAAUACACCUGGGGAGGGGUAAAAUACACCUGGAGAGGGGUGAAAUACACCUGGGGACACACAGACACACCCGGGGACAGGUAAAAUACACCUGGGGAGGGGUGAAAUACACCCAGAGCACACACAGACACACCUGGGGACACCUGGGACAGGUGAAAUACACCUGGAGACACACAGACACACCUGGGGACACGUGGGGAGGGGUGAAAUACACCUGGAGAGGGGUGAGACACACCUGGGGACACACAGACACACCUGGGGACACACAGACACACCUGGGGACACACAGACACACCUGGGGAGGGGUAAAACACACCUGGGACACACCUAAACACACCUGGAGUUCACCCAGACACACCUGAACUCACACCUGAACUCACACCUGAACUCACACCUGAACUCACACCUGAACUCACACCUGAACU